rnacentral:rRNA from 1 species
GGGGCAGCGGCGGACGGGUGAGUAACGCGUGGGAACGUGCCCUUUGGUACGGAACAACUGAGGGAAACUUCAGCUAAUACCGUAUGUGCCCUUCGGGGGAAAGAUUUAUCGCCAUUGGAGCGGCCCGCGUUAGAUUAGCUAGUUGGUAGGGUAAUGGCCUACCAAGGCGACGAUCUAUAGCUGGUCUGAGAGGAUGAUCAGCCACACUGGGACUGAGACACGGCCCAGACUCCUACGGGAGGCAGCAGUAGGGAAUCUUGCGCAAUGGGCGAAAGCCUGACGCAGCCAUGCCGCGUGAAUGAUGAAGGUCUUAGGAUUGUAAAAUUCUUUCACCGGGGACGAUAAUGACGGUACCCGGAGAAGAAGCCCCGGCUAACUUCGUGCCAGCAGCCGCGGUAAUACGAAGGGGGCUAGCGUUGCUCGGAAUUACUGGGCGUAAAGGGAGCGUAGGCGGAUAGUUUAGUCAGAGGUGAAAGCCCAGGGCUCAACCUUGGAAUUGCCUUUGAUACUGGCUAUCUUGAGUAUGGAAGAGGUAUGUGGAACUCCGAGUGUAGAGGUGAAAUUCGUAGA